rnacentral:rRNA from 1 species
CGAACGCUAGCGGCGGACUUAAUACAUGCAAGUCGAGCGAGAAAGCACCUUCGGGUGUGAGUAAAGCGGCGGACGGGUGAGUAACACGUGAGUAACCUACCUCCCGGCGGGGGACAACACUUCGAAAGGGGUGCUAAUACCGCAUUCGACUCAUUAGACUUCGGUUUUUUGAGGGAAAGAUGGCCUAUCCAUGGAAGCUGUCACCGGGAGACGGGCUCGCGGCCCAUUAGCUAGUUGGUGAGGUAACGGCUCACCAAGGCUGUGAUGGGUAGCUGGUCUGAGAGGAUGACCAGCCACACUGGGACUGAGACACGGCCCAGACUCCUACGGGAGGCAGCAGUAGGGAAUAUUGGACAAUGGGGGAAACCCUGAUCCAGUCACGCCGCGUGGGUGAUGGAGGCCUUCGGGUCGUAAAGCCUUGUCAGGAAGGACGAAACGGUCUUAUGUUAAUACCAUCGGAUCUUGACGCUACUUCCAAAGGAAGCACCGGCUAACUAC